UAAUUUAUCAUUAUUGUUAACUGUUUCUAGAUUUUUAGAAUAGAAUUAAAAUUUUCGAAAUUAAAUUGCUUGGUUUUGAUACUUAUUACUCAGUUUUUUACAUUUGACCUAUUUCUCAAAGCCUGAUUUACCAAAAUCGGGACAAAUUGCCUUUAGGACUCUUUUAUUUUCAGUCUACCUUUAUGUCGCCGAAUUUACUAUCGACCUAAGAACAUUAUUAUUAAAUUGUAAUUGAAAAUUAACGUUAUUAAUAGUAUUUUUUAUUGCAGUUCCAAUCCUACCCAGCUGUUUCACUAUAUUCGACAAUGUUUAUCCACUGAAUUGAAGCUAGUACAAAGUGCUGGACCUAUUCACCCAUUACCAAUACCUAGCAAUGUUAGCGAAAUUUUGAAGCUUAUAGAUAUGGUUCACAAUAAGACAAAGGCUCUUUCCCAUGAUAUAAACGAGCUUGAAAAAGCGCAAGUAGCAUUUGCUACCC